UGUAUCUAAUGAAGAAAACAAUAUGAUGUGAAUGUAUAACUGUAGGACAGGGGUGGGCAACCUUUUUCAUUCGAGGGGCCACUUCAAAUUCCUCCAAGGACUGUCAAAGUCCUCCGAGGGCUGCACUAUGAACAGAAAUCAGGAUUUCCCCCUGCACUUGCCUAUAUUGAAGGCAGCCAGCUGUAAAACAGACCCCACCUUCUCUUGGUCCCCUGCAAAUGACUUAAUCGUAUUGCAAAUGUCAUUGCUAAGAUUCCUUUACAAAAUAUGUUUUAUUUCAUGUGAAGCUGCAUAACAUUGAAAUUAUGUCGGAGGCCUGGUGAAACGGCCCUCGAGACAUAGGUUCCUCACCCCUGCAUUAUGAACAGUUUGUGAACGCAGGCAUGCAUGUUAUACAAUGAUUAAUUUCAUAUUAGAUUGAAAAUAGAUUGCCAAGUAAUGUGUCUUCAUUUUCCAUAACUAUCACCCCUUCCGAUUACAACUGGUCUCGAACGGUCACAGACUCACAGGCAGUGGUGUGGUCUGUGUGCAUCAGCUAUUUCACUCGUAGGAAGCUGCAUGUUGGAAGAUUCCAUUAGACCUAUGUUAAUACAGUUGUAGAAAGUAUGCUGUCAAAUGGUUACUGCAUUGUAACUAAGGAUAUAUUACUGAUUCCCACCCUUACAUCACUGCAAAAAGAAAUGCAUUGCUAAUUGCCUUCAGUGUAGUCUUUUCAGAUGCUGUUCUGCUGCCAGUCCACCAUGUGCACAAACGGGUCGCCUAGAGGAGGAGGGCGGGCAACGAAUUACUCAAAUGCUGUGUUGCUGCCAGUCCACGGAUGUACACGAAUGGCUCACCUGGAGGAGGAGGGCGGUCAACGACAUUACUCAAGUAUUGACAACAAAUGUGCUCUACGAUGACAUUUCCAGCAUGUCCAACUCAUCUGCAUCAGGGGCGAUUCGGUGAAGGUGGUGCACCAUCCAGGACCAGUCAUGGGCCACCAACACCUCUGCAAAAUCUACACUUCUUGUGAACCCUGUAGAAGACACUACAACCACAAAACUGCUAAUAAACCAUCACAUACGGCAUCACAUAAUGGUUCUCCAUGUGUUA